GAGUCUGGAUCAAUCAGUCCAGGAGUGACAGAUCAUCUCAAGCCUUACAACCACCCUCCCCCACCCCCCACCUCUAUUUUCCAUCAUCCCUACCGCUCUCCCACAGAGACCUCCUGGAGCCCCGCCUCCUCCCCCCCUGACGGUGGCUCUUGGGGUCACCUGCACGUGAAAUUCCAGCUCAGGACCAAGGGCUGCUGCCAAACUCCCCAUUUCAUCAUCCAGGGCAUCGAUUGUGGAGUUGCCCAACCGUAGACCCACAGCCCCAGACACCUCCCAGCCAGUCAUUGCCCACCCUGCCCAAACCACAGCUGACCUUGACCUCCGGACAACUCUCUGAGGCUAUUUGCACACCUGGCCAUUUAUUGUGAAGGAUGAAGUGCUGAGCAGUGUCCCAUUAUGACAGAUCUGUAGGCAGACUGGGGCCUGCCCAUCAGUUCUUGGUGAAGUCACUUUUCAUUGGUUAGAGCCAAUGUUUGUGUGAAGACUUAGUCCAAGGUUUCACAGAAUAAAUAUAGUUUUAUACCCUGAGAAAAAGACAUGAGGCUGUGUAAGGUAUUGGCAGAAGGUUUUCUCUGUGCACAGCACAGUUCUGACAGCUGGAAACCAGAAAGAAACAUGGAAAGAAUCUGAACAGCAUGACACUGAUGAGCAGACUGAAGUGCAGAGAGUUGAAGCAACUUGCCAGCCACACAGCUGGUGCUGGGGGGCCAUGGACCCAGCCCCUCACCCUGGGACAGGAAGAAAGAGAAACACCCACGUGCAUCUAGCUGGACAAUGUGACCUAGGAGGGAGACAAAUAAGAUGACACCCCCUAGAAGACAAAGCUCCCAGACAUGGAGAAUCAAAUAAAACAAGAUACUGCUACAUCAUUAGAAGCCUAAUUCAGCAGCAGCUUCCAACAGUGACGCAAACAGAUGCAGACAGAGCAAUGCAGGAGAGCGAGUGUGAAAAGGGAGCAGCCGGCAUGGGGCUCAGUCUCCAGCACGCUGUCACACAUCGUCCACAUGAUAACAGAGACCUAGGUCCUCUCUCCAAGGCAUUCGAGACCGAGGAUGGUACUCAUGUGGCUGAGGGACCUUCCUCCACUCAUAACCUGCUCAGCCUGCAGCUGUCUGGGUGCCCCGUGAUGGUCCCUCGAGAAGUCCAGGCUGGGGUGCAGGCACCGUUUGUCUUCCCAAGGCGGAUCAGGGUGACAGUGAACAUAGCAGGCUCUUCUGGAAGCCCAUACAGAGGAGGAGUAAGGCUCCCUGUCCGUGAGGAUGGCAGGCUUUGUGACUGAGCCCACUGAUGGUAUGUAGUGGAGGUGAUGUAUGGCGCUCCAGGGGUGUGUGUGGCGGGGGGGAGGAAGUGGUCAGAAAAGCAGCUCUCGCCUGGACCCCUCUACCUCUCAGGACAAGCACUGCUUUACUAAGGUUGUCAUUAAGUUUUGGGGUAACUUGUUACACAGCUGUUUCAGUCUGUUCAGGCUGGUGUAACAAAAAGUGACAUUAACUGGAAGGCUUAUAAACAACAUCUACUUUCCAUCUCUGGAGGCUGGGAAGUCCAAGAUCAAGGUGCUGGUAGAGUUGGAGUCCGGGAGACCUUACUGGGUGAAGACGGAGCAGGACAGGAAGAGGUGGGCAGGUGCAGGGCUGGGCGUCUCCAAGACAGGACCACCGAGGUCCACUGGGGUCCCCCAGGAUGGGACUGGGCAGGCUUCCCCUGCCACUGUAGGGUCACCUGUGGUAUUGGGAGGUCCCUUCCAGAAGCACUGAAGCCCCUGGGGGUGGCUAGCACCUUGUCCUAGGCAUCUUAUCCCUGUUGGGCACAGGUCUGGGGAUCUUGGGGGAGGCAAGUGGGGCCUCAGGGACCCCUCCACCUGCCAUCAGCCCCGCCAGCCCCACCCUAGUCCCUCUGGGUGGGACCACUGGGCUCAGUGUGGUCUAAGGCCCACUCUCCAGGGGGUAAGUGCCCUUUCCUGAGAACACCAGCCUUCCCUUUGCUUGGGGUUACGGCAUCCUGCUCUCUGUGAGGAGCACCUGGCAGGUGCAGGAGGAGAAGGCUGGUCUCCAGCCAAAGGGUGGAGGCUCCAUGUCCUGACCGUUGCUCUUGGUUCCUUCAUGUUUGUUUAUGCAGCACCUUCUCCUCCUGUCUACCAGGCCAGGCUUAGCCUUGGACAAACCUGGCCGCUCAGGCCAAAGUCAGCCCCACCUCACUGUCUUAUUUUCUGUUGUCUCUCAUUCUCGUGACUCUUCCCACGUGUUGGAAUUCUCUAGUCCCCCUAUCUGGUCCGUGUGUCCACUAUCAGCCAUAUCCGCUCUGAGACCUCAAGUUGGCAAAGACAGGGACCUGCUGGCAGGGCCACUGCCUUCCCAUUGGGCUCAGAACCUGCAGCCUGGCAGGGUUCAGGCCGCCAGUAUUUGGGGGGCAGGGGAUCAAGUGGGAGACCCAGGCUCCCGGUUGUGGGGUGGGUGCUGGGGAUU